AUCAUACAGGUUAAAUAUGUUUAUUUCUGUAAGUAGGAGCUUUCCCAUCAGGACAAAUCAAAGGUUCACCUUACUUAGGCAGGUGAUGGGGUUGUAUGGGCUCCUGGGAGAUUGGGUCAGAGAAAGACUAGGGGGAGACCCCAAGAUAUAGGCUUGGCUGAUUUCUUCCUGAAGACACAGAUGAAUAUAAAAGCAUUGGCUUUGGUGGCACGUGGUGCCAGAGGAUUUGGGGGAACAGAGUCUGGGGGUGGUGCAGUGGAGGGGAAGAUGUACUGACUUCAGGGGCCAGCUGGCCACAGUACCCUUCCUGUCCCAAGUAGGGCUGGGCCAGCCUUCUCAGCUGCAGGAUGAAGCAUCCUGAGGGAGACUGAGAGGGAAAGAAAGUGCUGGAGAAGGAGCCAAGUCUUUGAACUUAUUCCCUGCACUCAGGAGAAGUGGGGGAACCAGUCUGCUUUCUAUG
rnacentral:lncRNA from 1 species